UACAGAGGGUGCGAGCGUUAAUCGGAAUUACUGGGCGUAAAGCGCGCGUAGGCGGCUUUGCAAGUCGGGUGUGAAAUCCCCAGGCUUAACCUGGGAACUGCAUUCGAGACUGCAUUGCUAGAGUAUGGGAGAGGGAAGUGGAAUUUCCGGUGUAGCGGUGAAAUGCGUAGAUAUCGGAAGGAACAUCAGUGGCGAAAGCGACUUCCUGGACCAAUACUGACGCUCAUGUGCGAAAGCGUGGGGGAGCAAACAGG
rnacentral:rRNA from 1 species